rnacentral:ncRNA from 1 species
UUCAUCAGGAGUAGCGGAGGGACUGGCCCUAUGAAACUACGGCAACCAUUCUUCAUGAAAACGGUGCCAAUUCCAGCGAGUGCAUACUCGGAAGAUGAC